AUUGAACGCUGGCGGCAGGCCUAACAAAUGCAAGUCGAACGAGUGGCGGACGGGUGAGUAAUGUCUGGGACCCUGCCUGAUGGAGGGGGAUAACUACUGUACACGGUAGCUCAUACCGCAUACCCUCAGAUGUGCCCAGAUGGGAUUAGCUAGUUGGUGGGGUAACGGGGCACCAAGGCUACGAUCCCUAGCUGGUCCUAGAGGAUGACCAGCCACACUGGAACUGAGACACGGUCCAGACUCCUACGGGAUGCAGCAGUGGGGAAUAUUGCACAAUGGGCGCAAGCCUGAUGCAGCCACGCCGCGUGUAUGAAGAAGGCCUUCGGGUUGUAAAGUACGUUCAGCGGGGAGGCGUUACCCGCAGAAGAAGCACCGGCUAACUCCGGGCCAGCAGCCGCGGUAAUUC
rnacentral:rRNA from 1 species